GUGAAAGUACUUUCGAAAAUUACUUCAUAUAUUCUUAUGAAGUUUGACUGCUAGUGCAAUUACUUUCCUAUAUACUAGAGGUUAACAUAGAAAUUCAUAAAACUCCACUAAAACAUCUAAAAAUUCUAACGGCUGUAACUUUCACUUCUCUAAACUUUAUUAUUGCAAUCAAGACUAUCCUUUUAGUAGAAAAUUUACAAUUUAAUUACUACUUGCGAUGGAAUGUGAUUUAAUUUGAACUUGCUGAAUUCCACAAGAUCAAAUCACUGCAUGAAAUCACUACGCAAGUAACAGGAUAAAAAUUAAUUGAUUUUAAUAACAGUUAGCCUUAACGGGUACAAUAAAGAGUGCACAAGUUCAAAAAUGUCAUAAUUUCAAAUUUUCGACAAUACGAGUAACAACAACAACGUACAGCAAUAAAAACUAAGUUGAUUAGUCGAAUUUGGUUUGUGGAACUUUUGAUGAUGCGAUUUUAAUGUCCAUUUAUUAAUUUGUUUUGCCCGCUGAACGCAAAGCUUGCCUUUUACAGCUAGAGCGUAAUUGUUAUUUUUGUUGCUUUUACCAUUUAUACCUAUGUACAUAUUGGCGUAUUUAGUAGUAUUCGAAUAUUUAUUGCCGUUAUUAUUUUUGGUUCUUUCAACUUGGUUUUAUGAAUGUACAUACAUAUUCGUGUGGGUGUGUAUAUAUGUAUGUAUGUAAUAUCAUUAUUAGAGUUCGAGAUUUGUGUUGCUUUGCUCUUAGAUACUUUGGAUAACAUUGGUUUUCUGAAUUUCUUUAUAGUUAGUUGAAUUAUUUUAAUCACUAAUUGGAUUUACUUUUGCAAUUUCGUUAUUUUUGUCUUAUUACUUUGUCUUUCUUAUUUUGUAUAACUUCUUUGUUUUUAUAAAAUAUUCGCCUAACUACAUUUAAAUUGUUUAGCAUUUAUACAUACUCAUUCUCUUUUUAGUAAAUGAUUAUAAUUUUUCAAUAGAAUUAUAUAUAUACUUUAUUUAAGUAUUGUUAAUGUUUACAACGAUCUUGUAUACUGGAUUAUAGGUGCAGUGAUCCCCGCUUAAGUGCCCCCCCGUUUAAGUGCUUUUCCCGCUUAAGUGCUUUUCCCGCUUAAGUGCCUUUCCCGCUUAAGUGACAAUAUUUUGCGGCAUCGUUGUUUUUUCUCAAAUUUACAUAUAAUAUUCCUCGCUUAAGAGCCUCCGCUUAAAUGCCUGUAAUGUUUGAAUGCGCUGGGUAUUGUCAAAAGGAAAACAUAAACAUAGUUUUGCAAUGUUUUUUUUUCAUAUUUAUUGUUAUUAAUUAGUAUGUUUGUUAUUAAUAAGAAAUAAAUGUGACUUUCAUUCUAAAAGAAAACAAUUUAGAUCGAAGUAUUUGAGAAAAAGCUUGGUAAGUACCUUGAGGCACUUAAGCGAUAUUCAUUUAAGUGCCUUUCAAGCUUAAGUGUCUGAAAAGUCUUUCAUGUUAAGAGCGGGCUCUUAAACGGGCAUUACUGUCUUUAUAUAAAUUAGCAGCUUCUUUUAAAAUAAAUCAUAUAUACAUACAUAAAAGACACUUUUAAUAGGUAAAUAAAAGCAUUUGAGCUGAAUUAAAUUUGUAUACAAUUAAUUUUAAUUAGUUGUUUAAAUAUUUUAAUUGUGUUUACCCGUAAUUUUAAUGGAACAAAAGUUCAAAAGGUUACAUUCUAAAAACGCUACAAUGUGCAAAGCGUCAAUCGGAGUGGCGUGAAAAUUUUUCGCCUGCGUAAUUCAACACCUCUUAAAUGCUUUAACCUUAGAAUUUUCAAUUAAAUAGCAAAAUAAUUCCAUUGUCACAUCAGCACCCGGCUUCGAAUGAAUACCACAAAUAAUAUCUUUUGUUUAUUUUACAGAAAGUCCUCAAAACGCUUACUCAAAUGCUAAUCGGUGAAGACGGUGAUUAGCGCAAACAAAAAAUUCCAUAUUGUAAUCGAUAGGCAAGAAGCGCUCUCUCUCCCUCACUCAAUCUCCCAAGAUUUAGUUAGACAUACAUAUGCUCUAUUUUUCUUGGGCGCGUUUGUGAAGGCAAUGGCUCCAGCAUUUGGGGGACUCACAGUACGAGAAAAACCACAUUACCUUUCAAAAUUCGCAUCAAGCGCAGGCAUUCUAAAGGAUGACUACUCCUCAUUGCCUAGGUGACGGCGCUCCAUCUGGUAUCUCAAAGGACUUAUUGGCCUACCAGACUAACCUAACCUAAAUACUUUAUUUAAGGGGUUACGCUGAAAUUUUCAAAAUAUUGCAAUUUUUUUUUGCAGAAUUUCAAAGUCCAUUCUAACAAGUAUUUUGAGAUUAAACACGAAAACAAUGCAUAAAAAAUUACGAAAGUUAUGAUCAUUAGAAGUUAGGGUGGUGGGAGCGCGACGAGGGUGCAUUUGUUUCUUCCUUUGCGUUUUUCUCAAAACCAAAUUUUUUGAAACGGUGUACAAGAUAACUCAAACCUAUUCAACCGAUUGUCUUGACAAUUAAAAUACAUAUUCCUAAAUAGAUUUUCCACAGAGUGCCGUGGGAUUUUUUCAAUUAAAUGAUUUGAAAAAUUUUUUGUACGGUAUUUUUAGCCUAAAACAUAAAUUUUUGAAGUUCUUCCAAUUGCGUAAAAAUUUGUUGUUUUUAUAAAACGGUCACGUCACUCUGACAAAUUUUAUCACUUUUUAAGGAAAAUAUUUUUUACUUGUUUCAGACCAAAAUUGAAAUGUCAAUCAUGUACACCAUCAAGGAGUGCUCCGGAAAAAUUGAUCCACGCCAAUGCUUAUAUCUCUGUCAUUUUUCACUAAAAAUAUUUUUUUAAAUAUUCAUAAAGCUUAAGAUAUGUAUUAAAUUAGCAAUAAAUGUAAAGAAGUCGUACCUCAUAUUGUUUUGUCAAAAAAAUUCCUAAACAAACACCAAAAUUCCAUGCGUUCAGGGUGGCUUAACCCCUUAAGGGAUCUUUAUUUUCUUUAUGCAUAUAUAAAAUUCUUCUGUACGUGUGUAAGUCACUGAACUCCUCCUAAAUGGCUUGACCGAUUCGAAUGAAAUCUUUGCGUGUCUUCAACUGGAUUAGAGAAUGGUUUGUAGUCACCAUUCGGUCCAAUUGAAAUAGUGCAUUUAAUUAAUUUUAAAUUGUUUUAUGUUGUAUAUUUGCCAAAAAUAUUGUUGUUAGUGUAUAGAAACCGCCUAAAAGUAUAUAAAAUUGUUUUGUGAAAUGUUUUAUAUUUGGAUGUCGCUACUGUCGGUGUACCAAAUCUGCAAUCCAAAUCUAUAUUAAUUUCAGUUUGUCGCAAUAAAAUAAAAUACUUUGUUUAAUAUCUUAAUAGGUUGAAAUAUCAUGAAGGACAACGUCUGUCGGGUUCAUUACUUACAGAAUAAAAAAUAUUUUCAAAGAAAUUUAUGGCAAGGAUCUCUAUUCAAGGAUCCCUUCAAUCUUUGAAGUAUCGAUUUAAGUGAUAAAUAUGUAGUUUGUGACAAAAAAGUACUGUGGCCAUGAUUUCUAGUUCUAUUCCCAGAUUACAAUCCCGAAACAUGAUACUAAAAAACAAACAAUGAAGAAUGCAACUUUCUUAAUUCCAAAAGAGUUCGAACAUAUCUAGAAAACUCUCGUCUAUACGAAAUGCCUUUUUGAGCUCUCUUCGUACAAGGUUGCCGAGUGACUGAAAAUAGGAUAAUCAGUUUUGUGAUAAUUUAUAUAAUAUUUUGAAUGAAAACAAACCAGAGAAAGAACACUCAAAUAUCACCUUUCCCUGUUAUAUACAAUCUUACAAGGUUUAUACACUUUUAACCAGAUAUACAUAUGUACAUAUAUGUAUAUUUCACUUGACUAUUUGUUAUUAAAUAGUGUUUUUAUAUUUAUAUAAUAUGCAUAAAACUUAUGUAAUAAAUUUAAGCCAGUUAUUUUUACAGUUAACUUUUAUUAUAGUAUAUAGUUAAGGAGUUGUGAAAGAGUUCAAAAAUACAAAAUUUUAAGUUUUCGGAUUUAGACAGCAAUUAUUAUGUAUGGCUUAGGACUUACAACAUUUGUGGUUUGUGGUUAUUGUUAUUGUGGGUGUCGAUCGAUCUGAAUUACAAUUUCAACUUACGGCGUGUGGCAUAAGGGUGUGUGAGCGUUGGAAUGUGUGUAUAUAGAGAUUAAAAGGCUUUACGAGAAACGCCAUCGAGAUGUAAAGAUUUAUUUUUACCGUUAAAUGUUUGUAUAAAUAUUACCGUUAUAAUAGCUUUUUAUGCAUUUACUAGCACAUGUGUAUAUAUAUGUACAUAUAUUUAUAUAUUUAUAGCUGCUGUCAAUUGAGUUUAAAUUUAAUUGAUAAAUACACCAACCGCUUACAUUACGAAUAGUGUAUAGUAGAUGUGUUUUAAAUACUGUACGCUUAUAAUAUUUAGUAUGUAUACAGUAUAUGUUUGUUGUGUUUAAAAAUUAUGGUUUAACUU